UGCUUGUAGAGUUCCGUUUGUGGUUGGAAUCGGAUCGGUUUGUUUGUUCACAACGAUUUCGCAACGGAAUAUGGUAGUACUAGCUAAGACCCUUACGAUCAUAUUGUUGCCAACUUUGUCGCGCUGCCACUCCCUAUUUUGCUUCGCCCCUGGGAUCAUUCUACUGUACCAUAUUAUUGGAAUGCUGUGGAGGAAGACUUGAACUCGAAGUGUGUGGGGUGUAGGCCCGCCCUGCGUUCCCCAGGGAUGCCCGAUAGAUAAAGAUUUCUCACAUUGUUCAUUCGUGAACUGCAAUCGAAAGAUUACUAUAAUCUUGUCUAAAUAAUAACGUUUCUCGGGUCAACUUUACGCUAGAUAACUGCAUUCUUUGCCAAGAGGUGGCAACCAAACAAAAAGUUGCCCUAGUGUUGAAAUUAUCGACAAG